CUAGCGUGCGGUUGGGGGUUGUGAUGUUUCUCGCUUCUUGUUUCUCCCGGGAAGUUGGUUUAUGUUUGGCUACCGGAAUUUUGCAGAGUUGGCAUUCCAGACGAAGGGGUCACUCAGCUCCUGUGGCGAAGGGCAAAAUGCGCCGAGCGGGGCCUAGGAGGGAGGGGACGGGAGUGAAGGUGUUGGGGUAAAAAAAGUUUCGGAGCCGUUUUCCUAUCUGUGGAAAAAGAAUUUUUGGUGUGGCCAUGCUGUUGUGGGAAACCCAAACCAAGUGCAACUCAGUAGAGCUAGCGCUCCUCGGGCCCUGGAGGUCUUGCAGGUUCUGCUGCUAACAAGGCCGUUGGAUACUAGUUACAUUCAUUGGCGCACCAGCUUGUUUAGGAGCUCCUGCUUAGGCAAAAACGCCCAUCCGGAACCUGACCGUGACCCAAGAUAUGGCAAAGGAAAAAAAAAGAAACAUUAAAAUGUUACAUAAAUUGAAUGGGCGAAAGAAAGAUAAUAAAUGUGCUAGGAUGCUGGCUCUGCUUGCAGUUCCCUUUGGAUUAUACCUUCCUCCUUUUUGCUCCUCCAGAUAAGGAUUCCCUCAACAAUAGAGGUGAUACAUUAUCUCUGAAAUACCCAAAGUGGUUUUCUUUUCCUGACUGGACACUGACUAAUAAUGUGACCUUGAGCAAGUAAUUUUUGCAUCAGUAACUUCCUCUAUAAAAUGAAGAUAGAUGAAAAUAGUAAUCUGUCUCAUUGGCAUUAUUAAGAUUAAAUGAGCUAAUGUUUUUAGAGUACUUAGAACAGUGCCUGGCACAAAGCAGACACUAUGUUUGCUAAGUAAGUGGUAUCAUGUAUCAUAUUCUGUUGUUAAAUACAUAUGGUGUUAGCCAUUAAGUGUAUAAAAUCUGAUGUCCCUCUCCAUACAUCUGUCACAUUCUGUCACCUGCCUCCCCCACCAUUUCUUGUCCUUACUGCUUAUUGCUAUCAUUUCCCUGCCUGUGACCUCUAUGCCAUAUCUUCUUUUGCAUCUCUUCUGUCAUUAAAUCAGCAUGUAUGUUUUUCAGUGUCCUUUUCUCUCGUUUGCUUUAAACACAGACAUUUUGGAGGCCCAUAGGUUUCAAUGUUUUUUUUUUUUUUUUUUUAAAGAUUUUAUUUAUUUAUUUGACAGAGAGAAAUCACAAGUAGUCGGAGAGGCAGGCAGAGAGAGAGAGAGGGAAGCAGGCUCCCUGCUGAGCAGAGAGCCCGAUGCGGGACUCGAUCCCAGGACCCUGAGAUCAUGACCUGAGCCGAAGGCAGCGGCCUAACCCACUGAGCCACCCAGGCGCCCCGGUUUCAAUGUUUUUAUGAAGUUUUGUAUUGUAGGAUGUGCAGUGGUGAGAGUGGGUAUGCAGGGUAGGAAGCAGCACUGUCAGUGGAAGACUAGCAUGAGAACCUGAAGACAAAUCCUGAAUCUACAGAGUGGGAUGUCAGGGACCUUGUAUACCAGAAAUGUUGAGAAAUACAGAUUCUUUUGGCUAAAUCUUGUCCACAGUAAGAUUAUUUUACAUUUGUAUGGAAUUCUUUCAUUGGUUACAAUUUAGGGAUUUGAGAACAGUGUUGUUUUUUAUUUUAUACUCAAUAAGGAAAGCCGAUUCAGAUUUUCGGGUUACAGUUACUCCAUUCCCAAGAUCCUAGAGACCAAAACCUUCCAGAAAACAAAACAAAACAAAAAAUGUGGGAAUGAGUUAGACCUAGAAUACUGAAUAAAUUAUUCAGUUUACUGAAAAAAGAGAAUACUGCGGUGUGUAUAUAAGUGUUGGAUCAUUGUUCAGAGACCUGGUCACAGAAAUUCCUAGAAUGAUUGUUGAAGUUCUCCACAAACUAAGAUCAUGUCAAUUUUUACUGUCCUGUACACUUUCAGCUUGUCCUACUAGGCACAUGUUAUAUACAGGUAUCCCUCAGUUUCCAAAAAGUUGGUUACACGACUUUGCUUUUAGGAAAGAACUGUAUCAGUACCUGUUUUCACUGAGCAAAAGAAACCCAAAGAGGAUUUUUGCUUCACAAAAAAAGCCAUUACUAUACCACAGGCCUUUCAUAAAAGUGAAGUGUAACUUGAAUUUUCAGAAAGUCAGGGAUACUCUUCCCAGUAUGCCUUUUCAACUUAUGUAAGGUCUUAUAGAAAUGUUUUACUUUUGGACAAUAGGGAAAUCUGUACUUCUUUUUCUUUAUAAGUCCAACUUUCAACUAUGCGUAAGUGCAUUUUUUAGCCUAAUUAGAAUUCUAGGCUUUAAAUUUAGAUGGGUAUUUGUAAAAGUACAUCUGAAAAUCUCAUAUUGCUUUUGAAUAUCUUUCCCUCCCUCCCUCCCUUCUUUCCUUCCUUCCUUUCUUAUCUGUCUCUCUGUCUAUCUAAAGUAGGCUCCAUGCCCAGCAUGAAGCUCAGUGUGGGGCUUGAACUCACAACCCAGAGAUCAAGACCUGAGCCGAAAUCAAGAAAUGGACACUUAACUGCCUGAGCUUCCCAGGUGUCCCUCGAAUUUUUUUUUUUAAAUACAAACUACUAAGCAUAAUAACAAAAUUAUUUAGAGGACAAAGUUAUGUCACCUUUAUAUUCAUAUUAAUAUUUACAUCAGAGUUUGAAAUUUUUAGUCAUUACCAAAAUUAAAACUAUCUUUGGCUAUAUAUAAGAUCAGUAUAGUAUUAAUAUACCACGGAUUUACUCUAAGUGGAAACACCUACAAAAAAAUUAGAUAAUUUGAAAAGAAUCUACAAAAGGAUUAUUUUUUUACUGCAUGAGAACAAUAGAUACUCAACCAAAUAUGGGCCAAGCAAUGCGAUUACAAUUCAAGAGCUGCUUAACUACCAUUUCCUAAAAUAGAAAAGUCAUACUCACUUCCUCUCAAGUGAUCCCUAUAUUUUCAUAUCGUAUUCUGCAGCUCUCACUGCUAAAGUCUAAUUUGUUGACCAUUUUGAUACAGUGCUCUCCAACUGGAAAAAUAAGUCACUGGCUUUAGAACAUUUCCAUUACCUGAAGACUUUCCAUCAUGCUUCUAUACAGUCAGUCCUGCUCCCACCUCUAGCCCUAGAGCAAAACACUUCUGCUUUGAGUCUAUAUAUUUGCUUUUUCUAGAAAUGUCAUAUAGAUGGAAUCAUAAAAUAUGUUGUCUUCUGUGUCUGGCUUCUUUUACUUAGCAUGCUUUUAAGGUUCAUCUGUAUUAUAGCUUGUGUUAGUGUUCAUUUCUUUUUUUCUCCCUACACUCCUUUUUAUUAAUAGAUGGUAUUCUAAUAUAUGGAUAUAUCCACAUUUUUGUUUAUUGAUUCAUCAGCCAGUGGACAUUUAGUUUGUUUCUAGUUUUUGGAUAUUAGAAAUAAAACUCCUGUAAAACCUCACAUACAAGUUUUUUGGUUUUUUUUGUUUUAUGCUUUUUUGUGGAUAUAGGUAUUCAUCUCUCUUGGGAAGAUGCCUAGGGGUAGAAUUGCUGGGUAAAUACAUGUUUCAAUUUUUUAAAAAAAGAUUUUAUUUAUUUGACAGACAGAGAUCACAAGUAGGCAGAGAGGCAGGGGGGAAGCAAGCUCCCUGCUGAGCAGAGAGCCCAAUUUGGGGCUUGAUCCUAGGAUCCUGAGAUCAUGACCUGAGCCAAAGGCAGAGGCUUAACCCACUGAGUCAUAUAGGCACCCCUAUAUGUUUCAGUUUUAGAAACUGCCAAACUAUUUUAUAUAGUGACUUUACUAUUUUAUAUUCCCAUCAGUAAUGAAUGAAUGUUCCACUUUUUCCACAUCUUCAACACUUGCUAUUUUCUUUUUAAAUUAUAGCCAUCCUAAUGAGUAUGAAAUGGUAAUCUUAUUGUGGUUUUAGUUUGCAUUUUCUUAAUGAUUAAUGAUGUUAAAUAUAUUUCAUAUGCUUAGUAGCCAUUCAUCAUUGAGUUUUUUAUCAUAGACUAAUUUAAGAACUGGUAGCCUAUGUGCAGAAGGGUGAGUUUUUGCACACACACACACACAUACAUAUCUCAUAUGUAGGUAUAUAUAUAAACAUACCUAUAAAACUAGCACCCCAAAAUAUAGCAUGCAAGGCAUACAGUUUAAUACAUAUUAUUAACUUUUAUCACUUUCUGAACAAUGAACUUUCUGAACAAUCACUUUCUUACCAUUUGCUGUUGUUAUAUAUUCUACUUAUACAUUAUAAAAACCCACAAGACAGUAUUAUUAUUGUAAUUUUAAACAAAUAAUAGUCAUUUUAAAUGUACAUAAUUACCCUGGCUUUUAAUCAUUUUUCCUU